rnacentral:rRNA from 1 species
UACGUAGGGGGCAAGCGUUGUCCGGAAUCAUUGGGCGUAAAGCGCGUGUAGGCGGCCCGAUAAGUCCGCUGUAAAAGUCCAGGGCUCAACCCUGGAAAGCCGGUGGAUACUGUCGGGCUCGAGUCCGGAAGAGGCGAGUGGAAUUCCUGGUGUAGCGGUGAAAUGCGCAGAUAUCAGGAGGAACACCGAUGGCGAAGGCGGGUCUCUGGGCCGAUACUGACGCUGAGGAGCGAAAGCGUGGGGAGCGAACAGG